GGGGUGACUGCGAACCAGCCCCUCGGGGGAGUCCCGGGAAUUCGCUCCGAGUGCCGGUGGAGCGCGAAGGAGGGAGCGAGGAGAAGUGAGGAAGCAGGGGUGAAUUUCCCAGGGAAGCAGCUCUGCGGUCCCGCCGGUUGGCGCGUCACAGGACUGCUCGGUACCAGGAGGGAGGACCCCUCAGUCAAAGAAUUAUGAAGUGGGCACUUUGGAAACUGUACUGAAAGUGAAAAAAUGUUGGCAGGCUCAACAACAUCAUUUUCCCUUGAGAAACAACAUCAAGGUUUGGAAAUCCCAAAAGACAUCUCAAGAUCAUAAUACCCCUGAGGAAAUGAGCUCAUUUGUAGAGGAUCCUGGCUUUUUGGCAUCUCUUCAAUAACUCUUAAGCUUGGAACAUCCCAGCCUCUUUACUGAUUUGAAGUGUACCCACCUAAACCAGAAAGCUUUCAGCUACAUGAAAACAAAUGAACAAACAAAAUGACCUAAACUAGGUUAAACAAGAACCAAAGAAGGAAUCAAAGUACAGUUUAAUAGAGAGAGAUGAGAGGUAUCGUGCAUUUGGGAGGACCCUAAGACAACUUUGUGAAUAUUACCUACCUUGUACUUCCAACAAAUGCUUGCAUCAACUGGCAUAUUUUCCCAGCUGUGGAUUUGUAAUUACUUUCUGGAUUUUGAAGAAGAGAUUAAAUUACUACGUAAGAGUCUGAAUAUUACCAUCCUCAAAUCUUUCUGCUAACUGAUUACUAUACGUUAUUAUUAAAUGGGUUU